rnacentral:rRNA from 1 species
AUUGAACGCUGGCGGCAGGCCUAACACAUGCAAGUCGAGCGGAUGAAGGGAGCUUGCUCCUGGAUUCAGCGGCGGACGGGUGAGUAAUGCCUAGGAAUCUGCGUGGUAGUGGGGGAUAACGUCCGGAAACGGGCGCUAAUACCGCAUACGUCCUGAGGGAGAAAGUGGGGGAUCUUCGGACCUCACGCUAUCAGAUGAGCCUAGGUCGGAUUAGCUAGUUGGUGGGGUAAAGGCCUACCAAGGCGACGAUCCGUAACUGGUCUGAGAGGAUGAUCAGUCACACUGGAACUGAGACACGGUCCAGACUCCUACGGGAGGCAGCAGUGGGGAAUAUUGGACAAAGGGCGAAAGCCUGAUCCAGCCAUGCCGCGCGUGUGAAGAAGGUCUUCGGAUUGUAAAGCACUUUAAGUUGGGAGGAAGGGCAGUAAGUUAAUACCUUGCUGUUUUGACGUUACCAACAGAAUAAGCACCGGCUAACUUCGUG